AAUUUGACAGGGUGAGUGUGGCAGAGCGAGGGCAGGUGAGUUUGGAGGGGGUGAGAUUAACAGGAUUAGGAGUGGUUAAUGUGAGUGUGAAUGCGUGAAAGGGCUGAAAGUGUGGGGGGGAGUGACAGUGUAGUGACAAUGUGAGGGAAUGUGACAGUGUGAGGGGAGGCUGACAGUGUGUGAGAGUAUGGUGACAAUACAUUGUAGGGGG